rnacentral:rRNA from 1 species
UACGGAGGGUGCAAGCGUUAUCCGGAUUCACUGGGUUUAAAGGGUGCGUAGGUGGGUUGGUAAGUCCGUGGUGAAAUCCCCGAGCUUAACUCGGGAACUGCCAUGGAUACUAUCAAUCUUGAAUACUGUGGAGGUAAGCGGAAUAUGUCAUGUAGCGGUGAAAUGCUUAGAUAUGACAUAGAACACCGAUAGCGGAGGCAGCUUGCUACACAGUCAUUGACACUGAGGCACGAAAGCGUGGGGAUCAAAC